CCUACGGGAGGCAGCAGUGAGGAAUAUUGGUCAAUGGGCGUAAGCCUGAACCAGCCAAGUAGCGUGAGGGAAGACUGCCCUAUGGGUUGUAAACUUCUUUUGUAAGGGAGCAAUUGGCGCUACGUGUGGCGUUAUCGAGGGAACCUAAGGAAAAAGAUCGGGCAAAUCCGGUGCAAGCAGCCGGGGUAAAAGGGGGGAUGCGAGCGUUACCGGGAUUUAUUGGGUUAAAGGGGUGGGUGGGCGGAAUGCCAAGUCAGCGGUAAAGUCCCGGGGCUCAACCGCGAACCGCCGUUGAAACUGGCGUUCUUGAGUGGGCGAGAAGUAUGCGGAAUGCGUGGUGUAGCGGUGAAAUGCAUAGAUAUCACGCAGAACUCCGAUUGCGAAGGCAGCAUACCGGCGCCCAACUGACGCUGAAGCACGAAAGCGUGGGUAUCGAACAGGAUUAGAUACCCCUGUAGUC
rnacentral:rRNA from 1 species